rnacentral:rRNA from 1 species
CACGUAGGCACCAAGCGUUGUCCGGAUUUAUUGGGCGUAAAGAGCUCGUAGGCGGUUCAGUAAGUCAGGUGUGAAAUCUUUGGGCUUAACCCAAAGCGUGCACUUGAUACUGCUGUGACUUGAGUUCGGUAGGGGAGCGGGGAAUUCCUAGUGUAGCGGUGAAAUGCGCAGAUAUUAGGAGGAACACCGGUGGCGAAGGCGCCGCUCUGGGCCGAAACUGACGCUGAGGAGCGAAAGCGUGGGUAGCAAACAGG